rnacentral:lncRNA from 10 species
CUGUUAUGAAAUGUAGUCAUACGGAGGCUGCGUCUGAAGACAGACAGUUCCAGUCAGCUGUAAAAUCCAGUGUGAUCCUGCAUUUGAAGCCAUAUGUAUUCUCUCUUCCUUGAGACUUGAUCACUACCUGAUUUGACUGUGAAACAAAAUGCUGGAUAUUUAAGCAGUUUUCACAGGAACCCUUAGCAAACGCAUCAUAGGAACUGAAAAAGGGAAGAAUCAGGCUGACCUUUGGAUCCACUAUCUCCAGUAGACCCACACUGCCAAGAUGCACAUUUUCAUGAAAGCCCUAACAAGAAAGACUAUUAUUCUCAAGGUUGAACCCAUGGAUACAAUAAAAAAUGUGAAAGCUAAGAUUCCUCCAAUCAACAGGGAUUGAUUUUGCUGGCAAGCAACUGGAAGAUGGAUGCACAAAUGUCUGAAUAUAAAAUUCAAAAAAAGGCCUCUUUUGCUGUUGAGACAUCAUGGUGCUAAGAAGUCAUCUUAUAACACUCCAAAGAAGAAUAAGUGUAAGAGAAAGAAGAAGGUCACCUGCUAAUAACCAUGUGAAUGAACUUGGAAGCUGACCUGGCCUUGUUGAGCCUUGAGAUGACUAUGCCUCAGCAGACACCUUGAUUGCAGUCUUAUCAGAGACCCUGAGCCAGACCACUCAGCUAAAGCACCUCUGGAUUCCUAACCCACAGAAAUGGUGACAUUAUAAGUACACAUUGUUUUAAGCCACUAAGUUUUAUGGUACUGUGUUAUACAGUGGUAGACAACUAAGAUAGAGCCACUGCACCAUUCCCUUUCUCCUGCCAGGUGAUCCUAAAAGCACAGGUUGAGAUGGACCUCAUCCCUGAGUGACUAUGAUGAGCAGGGCAGACUCACACACAAGUAGAUGAACGAGAUACAAACCUGUGUCUAUUGGGAUUGUUUGUUACUGCAGCAUGACAUAAUCUAUCCUGACUAAUGCAGCAUGUAUGUGAAAUCACCAUGAAAUUUGAAAGCGUAAUCCAGAUAUAAACUAUUAUUAUUAACAUCUGAACACUGUUUCUAUGUCCUGACCUUUGGACCCCAUCUUUCCUCUCCAGUUAUUCUCAUCAACCAUUCUUCAAUUGGACCUCUCCCACAAAUUACUCUCUAAUUACCCUGGGCUGUAGCAAUCUGCCCCAUCUUCUGAGUACUAAGCACCCACCCCCCACUUUUUCUUUCCUAUCACUUAUUACAACUGUAACUAAUUAUAUGUGGAUCCAUUCCAUUUAUUCAGUGUCUGUCAUCUCUACUAGAAUAUAAACUCCAUGAGGACUGGGAUCCUGUGGGUUUUACUCAUCAUUAUAUUCCCAGCAUCUGCCACAGUACCUAACACAAACACCUAAAUAUUUAAAUGAAUGAAUGAAUUUACACAUUCUUAUUCUCCUCUAUACACUCAUUUUGACACAACCAUAAAAUGUUUUGUUCGUUAUUUUCAUAUCUCACAUGUUUGUUAUGGAUUGCACUUCCCAAGUAGAUUCUGAGUCCCUGGAGGCAUGAAUUGCAUCCUUCAAUUGGCCAGGACACUUCAAAAUCAUGGCAGUGCCUUAAACAUCGUAUAAUACCUAGAGCCUUGCUCAUGGCUGGAGCACAAUCACUGCUAAAUUCAUAUUAUUCCUUGUGCUCAACAAAUUAUUGAUAAAUUAAUAUAAACAAGCAUGUAUCAAUAUAAUGGUGUGAAUAUGAUUCUCAAGGAAAUAGUAGAGCAAAUGAGUGAGGAGUGUGAGAUGAGGGCAGAUGAGAAAGGCUUCUGCAGGAAGAGAGCUGGAAAUAUACAUUUGUAAAGAGGCAGAGAAACAACAUGCAUGUAGCUGGUCACUGUGUCAGGCACCAGACUAGAUGAGAUGCAUGUACUAUUUUGUUUAAUUUUCAAAUUAGCCCUAUGUGAUAAGUUCUAUUAUCUCCACUUUACAAAUGAGGAACUGGAGCACAAAGAGGUUAAGUGACUUGCCCAAGGUCACAGAGAUAACCAAUGGCAGAAGCAACAACAAACUCAGAUCUGCCUCUCUCCAAAAGCCCAUCUCUACCAUGCCAGAACCUAAGUUUAGAUGUAAGCCUGGUUCUGUCAUUCUUUGGCUGUAUGGCCUUGGGCAAUAUACUUAACCUCUCUUGACUCAGUUUCCUUAAUUUAGUUAGCAUUAAUCAUUGUGCCUAUCUCAUGGGAUGGUUGUGAGUAUUAAAUGAGAUAAAAUAUGUAAAUCACUUAGAACAGUGCCUAGGCCAUGGUAGGUACUCAAUAAAUGUUACCCAUUGUUAUAACUAUUUAAAAACAGAUGUCAGAGAAAAACAUAAUUCCCCUACCAAAAAAAGAAUUUUUAUAAAUGCCCUUUCAUUCACAUCUAUUUUUGUUUGAUAUUUCUACACCCUAAGCUGUAGGACUGCAAGAAAAAGAGAGUUUUUGGGACAGAAAAAGCCAUGUGGGAAACCCAGAAACAGAUCUCAUCUCACCUGUCCCUAUCAGCCUCUUCUGCCCGCCACACGUUGCCCUGUGCAGCCUGGGGUCCCAUAGCACCAACUCAAGGAUGGGCUCCUCACCUCUUCCAGGAAGUCCUCCACACUGCUCCCGCAGCCACUCAUGUCCAUGCUGCUAGUAGAACACCGACCACGUGGCUCUGGCAAGUAGGGGAUGCAGAGGAAGAGAAUGAACAAGGACUAUGGGCUCCUAACAGCUUCAGAGCUCCCAGUCCCACCUCUUAAAAGGCCCAAUUGUCCUGGGAUCUUGUAAGAUAUCCCAGUAUCACAAUGUACUCUUUCCCCUUCCCGCACCCCGCUACCCCACAACUGGCUGUAGUUGGUUUCUAUUAUUAACAACCAAAGAACCGUGAAUGAGACCCUAGGUAAAAGAAAUUACCCACCAUCUGAUGACUGCUUGGCAUGGCUACAAGCUACCAAAAAAGGUCUCACUCACCCUGCCUCCUCCAAAGGUGCAGGCAGCAAUGAGAUGUAGAAAAGCAUUGGAAGGCAACCUUGGAGGCCGCGGACACUUCAUAAGUGGUUUAAGGCAAGCAGAACAUGACGAAUAAAUAAACUGAACUCAUUCCCAGACCUAAUUUUUUUAAGUAAAAUAAAAUCAGGUCCACUUAGAGUUUAAAAUGGCAUUUGGCUAGAAGUUCCUGACAAAGUGUCUCCAAACUUCUCCCUAAAUUAUUUAUUACACAGAAAAAUGACAAAAACUCACAACAAUAAUGAAAAUGAAGACUAACAACCUGUUACCAGAAUCUAGAAGGAAUCUCUACUAACUAAAUAAAGCUGCUAAAGCUGAGCUGCAUUGAGACAAACAGUCCAUGCUUCGCCUUAGAAAACAGAACAGCACAUUGUCUCGAAAGAUGAUAGACAUUUUCUUUCUCUCCUACUGUCUACCCCCAGUUCAGAGACCCAGGACCAAGCCAAAUGAAAACCUGGCUCUCUAUUAUGACUGCUACUCUUUGGAGGAGCCGGAGAACUAUUCCCUCUCCCUCUAUCUACAUCCAUUCAUAGAAUGCAAUUACUGGGAAACCACAGAGUAGGAAGGGGAAGAGGAUUAGCAAUGGCACGUCAUGUUUUGGAAGGCAUUUUUUCCACACAGCAUGCCUUAUAGGAAGCACAAAGGUAGUUUGUGCUGGAGAGUAAGAUUUUCACAUCCCCCAUCAGUUCUGUUUGUUAGAGAAUAGGCAGAAGAGGAAGGGAGAGAUCCCAUGCCAGUUCAGCAGGGCCGCACAAGAUGAAUGCCCUUCAAUUCUGGGGAGCUGUGCACCACAACUGACCUUCAGCUACAGACCUAGGAAUAAGGCAGUGAGCAAAGCCAAGGACAAUCUGCACAGUCUACACUUCCUCUUUUAGCAAGCAAGCACCAAGGCUCCAUGGAGCUCUACUUGCUUAAAGGUAAACAAUGUGCCAGGCUGGAAUUGGGGAUAUAGGGGAGGGAACCCUCAGGAGGCCUAUGGAAAAACAGCAUUCACCAUAAGAGAAUAAGGGAAACAGAGCCUCACCCAGAAGACUAAGAAAAAGAGCACACUUCUGAAGAUAACUUACUAUAGAAACCAGAAGAAAAUGUUUUAAAACUGGCAUUUAUAAUAUAAAAACAUAAUAUGGCCCUAUGAAAUUGAAACUGAAAAACAUAUAUAUACACAUACAUAUAUAUAUACACACACACAAAUACAUAUAGAUAUAUAGAUACAGAAAACAAGCUGAGUUAAACUGAUAUCAGGAUAAGCUUCAAAGACUGGCAUGUGAGAUGACAUUUUAGGUUCUUACAAAAGUGUGAUGGGGGGCCGGCUCCCUUGUUUAUGUUAGACCUAAUUGUGAUUCUUUUAAAAUAAACAGUGAAGCAAAACUUUUAGGAUAUCAAGAGAAAGCAGUUAGCUAGAAGAGUGGAGUUUUAAAAAAUAUGUCAUCUAAAACAAUAUUAAACAAUAUUCAGAUAUGAUCCACUCAGACUUCAGCCCCUUACUACUUGUAAGUGUUCUUCCCUCUGCAAACGUCCGAGCAAAUCAGACCAGCACACACCCACUGGAGAAGAAUGGCAUUCUAAAGCUGCUUCUUUUUUUUGGCAGAAAUGAUGGGACUGUUAAAAUUCAGUAAUGAUUUUAUUACCUCAUUUGAGAUCAUUUCAUUGUCCAAGUUAUUCUCUUUUUUCAGUAGCAACAGCAAAUUUGGUAAGAAAGCA